rnacentral:rRNA from 1 species
UACGUAGGGGGCAAGCGUUGUCCGGAUUUAUUGGGCGUAAAGAGCGUGUAGGCGGCUAAAUAGGUCCGUUGUGAAAAGUCAAAGGCUCAACCUUUGAAAGCCGAUGGAUACUGCAGGGCUAGAGUCCGGAAGAGGCGAGUGGAAUUCCUGGUGUAGCGGUGGAAUGCGCAGAUAUCAGGAGGAACACCAAUAGCGAAGGCAGCUCGCUGGGACGGUACUGACGCUAAGGCGCGAAAGCGUGGGGAGCGAACAGG